CGCUCAGAAGCUAACAGGUCUCAGCAUUAGCCUUUUAAGCUAAACCUUGGUGACUGCCAAUCACCCUCAGCGA
rnacentral:tRNA from 1 species